AUGGCGACCGGCGCACGAGUGAGUAACACGUAUCCAACCUGCCGAUAACUCGGGGAUAGCCUUUCGAAAGAAAGAUUAAUACCCGAUGGCAUAAUUAGACCGCAUGGUCUUAUUAUUAAAGAAUUUCGGUUAUCGAUGGGGAUGCGUUCCAUUAGGCAGUUGGUGAGGUAACGGCUCACCAAACCUUCGAUGGAUAGGGGUUCUGAGAGGAAGGUCCCCCACAUUGGAACUGAGACACGGUCCAA
rnacentral:rRNA from 1 species